rnacentral:rRNA from 1 species
AACGAACGCUGGCGGCAUGCCUAACACAUGCAAGUCGAACGAGACCUUCGGGUCUAGUGGCGCACGGGUGCGUAACGCGUGGGAAUCUGCCCUUCGGUUGGGAAUAACUGAGAGAAAUUUUAGCUAAUACCUUAUAAUGUCUUCGGACCAAAGAUUUAUCGCCGAGGGAUGAGCCCGCGUAGGAUUAGGUAGUUGGUGGGGUAAUGGCCUACCAAGCCGACGAUCCUUGGCUGGUCUGAGAGGAUGACCAGCCACACUGGGGAUGAGACACGGCCCAGACUCCUACGGGGAGGAGCAGUGGGGAAUAUUGGACAAUGGGCGAAAGCCUGAUCCAGCAAUGCCGCGUGAGUGAUGAAGGCCUUAGGGUUGUAAAGCUCUUUUACCCGGGAUGAUAAUGACAGUACCGGGAGAAUAAGCACCGGCUAACUCCGUG